AGGGUCAAAAAGGUGUUUCCACUUGCUACACUAAUUUUCAUGUAUGGUCCCUUUAAUUGCACUCUACCUGCACGCUCCACCCAGAUAAUGAACUAGUUCCGGUAGGGUCAUUUAGAUUCGCGCCAGCCGAGAGGGUGACUGGCUGCGAGCAUGCACGAGGGUGAUUUGCGAAUCUGAUCACCGCUGUUUAAUAUGUUGUCAACAG